rnacentral:rRNA from 1 species
ACCCCACUGCUAUCGGGAUAGGACUAAGACAUGCUAGUUGAGCGCUUCCAGCCAAUACGGGAGCGCAGCGCACAGCUCAGUAACACGUGGCUAAUCUGCCCUUGGGACCGGAACACCCCCGGGAAACUGGGGCUAAUUCUCGAUAGGUGAAGAACUCUGGAAUGAGUCUUUGCCAAAAAGACGUUUACGUUAUGCUCGUAGGCGUCGCCCAAGGAUGAGGCCGCGACCGAUCAGGUUGUUGGUGAGGUAAUGGCUCACCAAGCCUUUUACCGGUGCGGGCCGUGAGAGCGGGAGCCCGGAGAUGGGCACUGAGACAAGGGCCCAGGCCCUACGGGGCGCAGCAGUCGCGAAAACUUUGCAAUACACGAAAGUGUGACAGGGCUAUCCCGAGUGCCAUCCGCUGAGGAAGGCUUUUACCCAGUCUAGAACGCUGGGGGAAUAAGGAGAGGGCAAGUCUGGUGUCAGCCGCCGCGGUAAUACCAGCUCUCCGAGUGGUGUGGAUGUUUAUUGGGCCUAAAGCAUCCGUAGCUGGCUGAGUUAGUCCCUUGUUAAAUCCACCGAAUUAAUCGUUGGAUUGCGGGGGAUACUGCUCGGCUAGGGGACGAGAGAGGCAGACGGUAUUUCUGGGGUAGGGGUGAAAUCCUAUAAUCCCAGGAGGACCACCAGUGGCGAAAGCUGUCUGCUAGAACGCGCCCGACGGUGAGGGAUGAAAGCUGGGGGAGCGAACCGGAUUAGAUACCCGGGUAGUCCCAGCUGUAAACGAU